rnacentral:tRNA from 1 species
GCCCCCGUAGCUCAGCUGGAUAGAGCAUCGGACUUCUAAUCCGAAUGUCGCAGGUUCGAGUCCUGCCGGGGGCG